UACAGAGGUCUCAAGCGUUGUUCGGAUUCAUUGGGCGUAAAGGGUGUGUAGGUGGCGCCGUAAGUCGGGUGUGAAAUCCCGGGGCUUAACCCCGGGACUGCAUUCCAUACUGCGGUGCUUGAGGACUGGAGAGGAGACUGGAAUUUACGGUGUAGCAGUGAAAUGCGUAGAGAUCGUAAGGAAGACCAGUGGCGAAGGCGGGUCUCUGGACAGUUCCUGACACUGAGGCACGAAGGCCAGGGGAGCAAACGGG
rnacentral:rRNA from 1 species